UACAGAGGGGGCAAGCGUUAUUCGGAAUUAUUGGGCGUAAAGGGCGCGUAGGCGGCCUGGCAAGUGGAAGGUGAAAUCCCUCGGCUUAACCGAGGAACUGCCUUCCAAACUGCUUGGCUUGAGUCCGGGAGAGGUGAGUGGAAUUCCCAGUGUAGCGGUGAAAUGCGCAGAUAUCAGGAGGAACACCAAUGGCGAAGGCAGCUCGCUGGGACGGUACUGACGCUGAGGCGCGAAAGCGUGGGGAGCAAACAGG
rnacentral:rRNA from 1 species